AUAUUUUUGAAACAUUUUGUUUUUAACUCAAUUGAAUUUUGAAUUCCUCUUCUAUUAGGUCAUAAUUUUUCUUACUCAAUGUUUCUAUCAAAUUGGAUUCUAAAUCUGGGUUUUUCUUUGGCAAGAAAUGCUACUAUUUGGUGAAGAAUCAAAAUAUAGCAAUUGGGUUUUCAAGAUUUUGCUCCAACAGAAAAUAAAGAUGGUAUGUCAGUUCUAUUAAUGAUUUUUCCGAAGUAAUAUUUUGAUUUUUGGAAGACUUAAAAUGACAUCCAUCCAAGCUUGAGUGUUUCAUCAAAUGGAUGAACAACAAAGCAUCAUGAACAACUUUCUUGAUAUAUUAACUGGGGGUGUUCAUUCCUUGAAGCAUGAAAACAACAAAGGCUAUGAAAGGACUUAACACUUGGAAUAGGCAACCAAGAUCCUAUCUUCAAGCAAUACAGCUUGCCUAAGGGAAAGGUUGGUUACCUCAAUGGAAUUUUUAACCCUUUGAACUUUGCACCAACUUUGGAGGCUAAAGAGAAGGAAAUUUCUAAUGGUAGAUUGGCAUUGUUGGCAUUCUUGGGAUUUAUCAGUCAGCACAAAGUUGCAGGAAAAGGACGAUUUGAUAACCUCUUGCAGCACCUUUCAGACCCAUGGCACAACAUCAUUGUUCAAACACUGAGUGGCGGCAACUAAAAUGUUUGUUGUAUCCAAUGACAUGAAAGCCUAUGUUAUUCUAAUGUAAUCAUGAAUGGAUGAAUUUUGAAAGA